CCUGUGGCAGGUGGAAGUUCCAGGCCAGGGACUGAACGUGCCCCACAGCAGCGACCUGGGCCCCUGCAGUGACCACGCCAGAUCCUUAACCUGCUGUGCCACAAGGGAGCUCCCAGGACAGGGCACUUAGGAGAAGGCGACAUGGAGCACUCCUGGGGGGUUGGGUGGGGGCAGGAAGGGCUGGAGGGAGCAGGUGGGGCUGCAGACCCCACCUCCGCGGAGGGCCACAUGUCCCCUGCCCUGAAUCCCCGGCAACGAGCAGGAGACAGCUGUGGGCACUGGUGCCCUGGGCUCUGGGGCCCCGGAAAGGCCUUUGCCAUCAGCAGGGUGCUGAUGUCCCGCAGCCUCUGUUUCUCAUAAGCACCUGUCUAAGACCGUCUCGGCGCGACUCUCCCCGCAGGCUCAGCGCCUAGGGUCUGGCCACUCCACGUGUGCCAGCAGGUAGGGGAACCCUCACCCCUCAAAGUGUCCUGGCGCCAGCACGUCCAUUAACCUGUGGUCCCCCUGCCAAUGUCCUCAAGUGUCACAGUCCCCGUUCUGCAUCUACCCUGUUACAGAAGCAAAUGGAGCUUCAUUUGGCUCCGGGACCAGUGGAGGAGCCCAGGCUUGCGCUCGGCAGGCGGCUGGGAGACCAGGGUCCACCAGCCAGCACAGGAGUCAGGGACCUUCACUGCUGGGAACGGCCCCACUCGCCUCCCCGUGGUCCUUCCUGGGCUGCAGUGCUGUCCACACACUACUGGUACUUGUGCCACUAGCCUCAUGGGGUGUGCAGCCGCCUGGGGAGACAGGAGGAGCCUGUGCAGGGGGCAGCGAGGAUGGAAAAGCCUCGGAGGCACCCUGGCCCGAGGCAAGGUCGGGAGAAAAACCUCAUGGCUGAGGCCGUGCAACGGGGCUGGGGACGCUGCUGCGGUCUCGAGACAGGCCCCGAAGGUCGGCUUCUCAGCCAGCAGCCCAGCCACCGGCCACACGCCGUCCCUCUCAGCCUGGCUGCCACCACGUUUUGAAUUUCUUCCCAAAGUGCACAUCCAGAAACCAAUUGGCUGCUGCAAGGGAACUGCCCCUUUGCUGGAGGUCAUUUCCCUGCAGCUGCAGGGAGCUGUGCAUCCUGGAGAGGGGCGGGGACAGCUGCCCGAGGGCCACGGCUGCACCGGGAAAGAGACGAGGUGUCAAGGCCAGCGUUUCGGGGUAAGGCGCCCAUUCCUCUUCUCUCCGGCGUCACCCGGCCUGGACUCCGUGGGUCCCCCAGUACAGAAGUGAGCCCGGGCGGAUGCCAUGGGGCCAGGACCAGCCCCGCCUUCCUGCCAGAGAAGAGGGGGAACAAACCGCCUCCUUCCGGUUUUCCCCCUUCCAUCCCGCCUGACCCCGGACCCCCGAGCCCCGAUCGUGGCCCCUCUGGGCUCUUGGGAGGCGGUUGCCGAACAUCCCCCAGCCUCUGGCCGAUCAGAGGAGCUCUCAUUCCGCCUCUCUCUCUGUCUCUGUUGGACGAACCAGUCUUUGUUUAUCUAAAAUGUAGUGGUUGUUUGGUAAAUUGCACUUCUGUUUCCACCACCGUUUCCGUGGACGUUGCUGGUAUUAACGGUCACAGCUGAGUUAUGCUCAGUCGACCUUGAACCUGAGAAACCUGCCGAAUCCUUUGAUUAGUUCUUUGAUUGCAUCCGUUGCUGUUGGGUUUCUAUGUAUGUUGUCAUCUCGCGAUAAUGACCACUUUAUUACACACACACACACACACACACACACCACACACACAUCCACGGCCAGCACCUCAGACGUCAGGUUAAGUAGUGGUUGUGCGAACAGACUAAGGAGCAAAUUUUAUCUUCAGUCCAAUUUUACUGGAAAUCCAUUUAAAAUUUUUACAUAAACAUCAUCAGGCAAAUUCCCUUUAACUACAUUCUGAUAUUUUUUAAAUUGAAGUAUAAUCGAUUUAACAUUCUGAUAGGUUUUUUUAAAAUCUAAAAAAUGGAGUUUUUUAAAACACUAAGCAUUUUUUUCUGGUCUCUCCUGGGCGUCACGUACAUUUUAUCUUUUAGUCCAUUGACUUGGGGAAUCUCAUGGCUGGAUCUCCUAGCCUCGGAACAUACCCACAUUCAAGGAAAAAAAAUCAUGCUUAAUCAGAUUGAGCAAUUUUUUCCAUCCACGUGAGUUUGAAUAACAACAUAUUUAGAACUUUAGCAUCUGUGAUCAUAAGCAAAAUAGGCCUAAAAUUAUAUUAUCUGGCCAUGCACCAUCCAGUUUGGGAAAUUGGGUUGCCCUGCGCCCCUGAGUGAGCUCCUUAGUCGACUUUCCCGCACAGGACGGGAUGACCUUGACCAGGACACGCCACACGGAUGGACACCCGCCCGGAGCUUCCCGUCAGGUGACCUUAAUGGGCCCCCAUCCUAAUUAAGUCUUCCUUCCUCUGUGGUUCAAGUCUGAUGCUUUCAGAUUUUCUGAGGGGGGAUAAAUGUAUUUUAUCUAGGUUUUCCAACACUUUAACACUGAACUUUUUAGGGAAAUACCGUGGAACCCCAUUUGCACUUGUUUUUAAUCAUCCUCUUUUAUUCUGAAUUUUCUUUCUGCUUCUUAUUCCCCUUUGUCUUGGCCAAAGUCUAUUGUUCUGUAAAUAUUUUCAGACAUCCAGCCUUUGCUUGUUCCUCUUAUUAGCCUCAGGGCUACUGCUUUCUGGGCUUGUCUGUUUUUUCUCCCCUUCCUCUUGGCAGGCUGGUGAAUCAGAAUUUUCAUCUGAUUUUAUUUUCAUCCUAAAUUAUACUGAGUUUCAUGUUGUUUAGGUGCCAACGAGAUUUUUAAUGAUACUUUAAAAUUAAUAGUUCCUAAUUCUCUUACUCUUUGGCCAGAAGGAUAGUCGGCAAGAGGCGGAUUCUUCAGAAUUCGGGGAUUCUUUUGUGGUCUGGUUCAUGGUUAAUUCUUGUGCACAUGCUGUUGCUGGUGUGUCUAAAAGGACUUGUACUCUGUGCCUUGUGGUGUAAAAUAGUGUGAGACGCUUCUACUGCAAACCCUUUUAUUGGAUUAAUUAAAUCUUCUGUGUAUUUGCUAAUUUUUUCUACUAGUUGUGUCAAUUCCAGGCCAGUCAUUGUGGUUCACUGGUUAUGAGUCCGCAGUCUGCUCACACUGGGCCACAGCUUCCAUCACUGCUCCCCAAGCAAGCUUGUAGCCCCGAGUCCCCUCCAGUCUUGUCCCUGUGUGAAAAGUGCCUCCAGCAUCCUCAUGACUGGUUGUCCUGCUGAAUCAUUUUCAUUACUUCAUCUCUUUUAUGUGGAAAACACUUCAAACUUAGUGAAAAGCUGCAAGAACAGUACGAGGAAUAUGUCUAUAGUAUCUACUUGGAUUCACUAACUCCUGCCUUCGUCUUAUCUCUGUGUUGUAGUUGCUGUAAUUACUAUUUUAUUACUGACGUGGCUUUAAAGGCAAAUCUCAG
rnacentral:lncRNA from 9 species